GAGCGUUUAGACGGGCCGGCCUUUUUCUCCUAUUCCCUUCUCCUUCUCCGCUUCCUUCUUCGCUCUAUUCUGUUUCUUUCUUUAUCGUCUCCCUUCCUCGCUUCCUUCUUCUCUCUUUCUUCGCUAUCCACCGGCCGGCGUUUCCUCUUCGCGGAAUUGGUUGUCGCCAUGGAUGCCCAAGGUUCGUUGUGCCUCUCCCAUCCUUUCCAUGGCGGAUUAGCGAAGCAGGCCAAAAUGUUCCUGUACGGUCCAGUGCGACUUUCCAGUCACGGUUUUCUACUCUUCGUUGGGCCAAAGCUGUUGAUAAGAUGUCUCCUUUUUAGAGAAGCUUUAUGUCAGACUAAUUCAAACAUCUUCUGAAUGUGCGCGCACAUGUGAUUGUGCCCAUGGAUUUGCUGCAAUGGUUAGCAAAACAUAUGCGCUAUGGUUAAGUAGGCAUUUUCGAGCACAACAACAAAGUCAUUCAUAUCACCCGAGAUAUGGUUGACAUAUGCACUAUGGAAGAACAAUAUGGUCCGGUUGGCUACCUGAGUCUAGAAUUAGAGUAGAUCGAGUGAAAUUUGAAAGCAAAACCUGUCAAUCUGAACACUGGUUGGUGCUUGGAUGUGUUUCGUUCUCACAAAUUUGGCAGUUCUCAUGUGAUGAUGUUCUUCCAUAGUUAGUGAAGUUUGGUCCCCAAAUAGUAUGUGCAAGGUGAUUCAUAGUGUUAUUUGGUUAAGCAAUUUUCCUUAUUCCGCAUGGGUGCUAUUUUUUCAAUCAUUCUCAAUCUGAACAUGAUAUAUGUCUUCCAUAUGCAGUGAAGUUUGGUCCCAUAUUUUUAUGAGAAAAGGUGACAGAGUGAUGUUUCCUUUUGUGCUAGGGAUUCCGCAUAUUCAAAUGAAUCUCAUGAGGAACAUAUUUUCCUUGGAAAUACAGUAGUGGUGCACAGAGACAUGGAUGAACAGAUGUACAAGUGGACAAGAAUUACAAAUGCAAAGAGAGCCAACAAAUAUAUGCCCACUCGUGAAACUACUUUUUUCUUUGAGAACAUUUAUUCCAUUUUGUAGCAAAUUGUGCCAAAACAAUGCUUUUGCUGAUUCUUUUUGUCUCUGAAUAUUGUUCAACACAAGAAUUUACCCUUCACUUUAUUCUUUAAUUAUAUAUAUACACUGAACAUUUGUUUU